CCUACGGGACGCAGCAGUGGGGAAUAUUGCACAAUGGGGGAAACCCUGAUGCAGCGACGCCGCGUGAGCGAUGAAGUAUUUCGGUAUGUAAAGCUCUAUCAGUAGGGAAGAAAAUGACGGUACCUGACUAGGAAGCUCCGGCUAACUACGUGCCAGCAGCCGCGGUAAUACGUAGGGGGCAAGCGUUAUCCGGAUUUACUGGGUGUAAAGGGGGCGCAGACGGCGAUGCAAGCCAGGAGUGAAAGCCCGGGGCCCAACCCCGGGACUGCUCUUGGAACUGCGUGGCUGGAGUGCAGGAGGGGCAG
rnacentral:rRNA from 1 species